AUCGGAUUUGUUGUUCCAGCACAUUUAAUAGAUGCUUUAUCGGAUUGAGAUCUAGGCAACACCUUGAACUCUUUGUCAUGUUCCUCAAACCAUUCUUGAACAAUGUUUGCAGUGUGGCUGGGUGCAUUAUCCUGCCCAAAGAGGCCACUGCCAUCAGGGAAUACCAAUGCCAUGAAGGGGUGUACAUUGUCUGCCACAAUCUAUUUGUAGGUAGUACGUAUCAAAGUAACAUCCACAUGAAGGCCUGGACCGAAGGUUUCCCAGCAGAACAUUGCUAAGAGCAUAACACUG